CCCAGACUCCUACGGGAGGCAGCAGUGAGGAAUAUUGGUCAAUGGUCGGGAGACUGAACCAGCCAAGCCGCGUGAGGGAGGAAGGUACAGAGUAUCGUAAACCUCUUUUGUCAGGGAACAAAGGCGGGGACGUGUCCCCGGAUGAGUGUACCUGAAGAAAAAGCAUCGGCUAACUCCGUGCCAGCAGCCGCGGUAAUACGGAGGAUGCGAGCGUUAUCCGGAUUUAUUGGGUUUAAAGGGUGCGCAGGCGGAUUUUUAAGUCAGCGGUCAAAUCGUGGGGCUCAACCCCAGCCAGCCGUUGAAACUGGGGAUCUAGAGUGUGCGAGAGGUAUGCGGAAUGCGUGGUGUAGCGGUGAAAUGCUUAGAUAUCACGAAGAACUCCGAUUGCGAAGGCAGCUCACUGGACUGCAACUGACACUGAGGCUCGAAAGUGUGGGUAUCAAACAGGAUUAGAUACCCCCGUAC
rnacentral:rRNA from 1 species